rfam:Aedes albopictus isolate Foshan contig15442, whole genome shotgun sequence.
UGUUUUGUGGCUUAGUUGAUUGAAGCGCCGGACUAGCAAUGCGGAGUCGGGAGUUUGAAUCCCACCAAAACAC